GGGGCCGUGGCGCAACGGUAGCGCGUCUGAUUCCAGUCCAGAAGGUUGGGUGUUCAAGUCACCCCGGCCUCA
rfam:Phlebiopsis gigantea 11061_1 CR5-6 unplaced genomic scaffold PHLGIscaffold_59, whole genome shotgun sequence.